CACAACCCUAGGUUUAUUCUUCCACCUAUUUCCGCCGACCUCUCUCCUUCCCAAACCUCCCGAUUUCCAUCUCUGCUCUUCUCCGUCGCCUAGCCCGACGCCCAAGCGGUGAGGUCGAUUAACACAGCUAGCUGCCGACGAUCUCCGCCACCGCCCUCUGAGGUUAUUCCGUGCCCUAGACAUCUCCACUGUUGCUCUCCCUCUCGCCACUGCCUAACGCGACCGCUGCCACCCGAGGCCGCGCCAUCCUCCAUCAAUUACCGAGCAUCGCUGUCGACCUUCUCCUCCUUUGAGGAUGAUCCCGAUCAGGAGUCAGCCGGCGCGUUGGCUACCCACAGGUUCCACCGAGCCAAGCCCUAAUUCGAGUCUACCUCGCCGCACUAGCACACCAAGUCAGUCGUCAUGCUCCCGACCAAGAGGUGGAGAAUCCGAGCCCUUGCUUUGCUGGAUUUGGAGCGCUGGAAUCGGUGGUGAUCGGCAGUUUGGAAGGUGACUUCUUGUCUUCCCGAGUCCUGAAGCUGAGCAACCUCUUCGCCAUUUUUGGGGGUUUCCGAUACUGAGUUAGGUUAAGUGGCUCACUGUGAGAAGCUCGGCUACAACUCCCAGCAGUUAUUCUUCAUCCGAGAAGCAUUAGGACUUUGUUUCGGGACGAGCAUCUCGAUGUCGGAUUUCGGGACACGAUCGACAGAUAAAG